UGCUCCUGCAGCCCAUGGAUCCACAGGGGAUGCAGAAUCCACUGCAGCCCAUGGAGGAGAUGCACAUGCUGGAACAAAUGGAUACCUGGAGGAGGCUGUGGUCCUGUGGGAAACCCAUGGAGAGAGAGAUUCAAACAAUUUCAGAGGAUGUAACUAAACCACAUGUGGUUUACCAUUGAUCUUUACCAUAAAUCAGAAGAAUGAUGAAAAUUGUGGAAAAAGGAAUAUUUUAGAACAGGCUGAAGUACAGACACUGGGAAAUGAGAAAAAGGUGGAGCCUUCUCCCUUAAUCAAAGUUGCAUCCGGAUUUUGUCCAGGACUUCAUCCACCAUUCAUCAAUUUUUAAAAAAUUUUUGUCCUUCAAAGACUAAUCUCAACAUAUUUUUUCUUUUUUGAAACUCAAGAAGUGUCCAAUUCUUCGGAAUAUGCUGCAUAAAAAACCUUCAGUACAAUAUGUUUGACUUCUCCAUAAA